GACGAACGCUGGCGGCGUGCCUAACACAUGCAAGUCGAACGGGGUGAAGAGCUUCGGCUUUUCACUUAGUGGCGAACGGGUGAGUAACGCGUGAGAAACCUGCCUUUCAGUGGGGGACGAACAGUUGGAAACGACUGCUAAUACCGCAUAAUGUAUAUCGAGGGCAUCCUUGAUAUACCAAAGGAGCAAUCCGCUGAAAGAUGGGCUCGCGGCCGAUUAGCUAGAUGGUGAGGUAACGGCCCACCAUGGCGACGAUCGGUAGCCGGACUGAGAGGUUGAACGGCCACAUUGGGACUGAGACACGGCCCAGACUCCUACGGGAGGCAGCAGUUGGGGGGAGUAA
rnacentral:rRNA from 1 species